UACAGAGGGGGCAAGCGUUGUUCGGAAUUACUGGGCGUAAAGGGCUCGUAGGCGGCCAACUAAGUCAGACGUGAAAUCCCUCAGCUUAACUGGGGAACUGCGUCUGAUACUGGAUGGCUUGGAUUUGGGAGAGGGAUGCGGAAUUCCAGGUGUAGCGGUGAAAUGCGUAGAUAUCUGGAGGAACACCGGUGGCGAAGGCGGCAUCCUGGACCAAUAUUGACGCUGAGGAGCGAAAGCCAGGGGAGCAAACGGG
rnacentral:rRNA from 1 species